UUGUUUGGUAUUCCAAAUACUAGCCUAUUGUGCUCUGUGCUUACACCCAAAUUAUGCUUGUCUAGACCCAUUUAAUUUAUUUCCAGCACUGACACAGAUUGCCUGGGUUUGAGUCUUAAAAACUGUUUUUUUUUUUUCAGGAUUUGAUUAAUCUUGUAAUAUUGCGUCAUUUUUUUUCAGCAUAUUUAGUGCCAUGUGGACCAUGCUGCCACAUACUUCUCCCAAGUGUGCUAGUGCCUGACAAUGAUGGAUUGUGUUAUGUUAUCUUGACAUAUUUUAGAGUCAUCUGAGAAGAAUGAACCUCAGUUAAGAACAUUACUCCAGGAAAUGGUUUCUCCCUUGAUUCCUGACUUGUAUUUGCUCAAUGAUGGAGAGUGCAAUUGUUGCCUG
rnacentral:lncRNA from 1 species